rnacentral:rRNA from 1 species
GCCGAACGCUGGCGGCGUGCUUAACACAUGAAAGUCGAACGAAGUGGCGAACGGGUGAGUAACGCGUAAUCAAACUGCCCUUCAGAGGGGGACAACAGUUGGAAACGACUGCUAAUACCGCAUACUGAAGGAGGGGAUUGCGGCUGAUUAGCUAGUUGGAGGGGUAACGGCCCACCAAGGCGAAGAUCAGUAGCCGGUCUUGGAGGAUGCGCGGCCACAUUGGGACUGAGACACGGCCCAGACGCCUGCGGGAGGCAGCAGUGGGGAAUCUCCCGACAUGGACGAAAGUCUGACGGAGCAACGCCGCGUGAGUGAUGACGGCCUUCGGGUUGUAAAGCUCUGUUAAUCGGGACGCGGUACCGGAAUAGAAAGCCACGGCUAACUACGUGCCAGCAGCCGCGGUAAUUC